UACUAUUUCUCCGGUAAAGGCCUCCGGGGCUCAAGGGUUUAGCGAUGAAAAAUCUUUGGCAACGACCCAUGCCAGCGAGCAACCAUCGGACAGCGAGAAAGCAUCUGAACAUCAGGCUAAUACAAAGACAGACUUAGCCAUAAAGCUGCGACUUAGCCUCUUUGGCAUAUCGCUGCCACCUUGACUUUGGCACCUAUCAUCUUUGCUCACACGCCAAGAGCAAGAGCUGACCUUAGAGGCCUCCCCGACUUCUUCUUAGAGCUACUUUAGGUCGAGGUUCUGAAAGAAGAGUUGGCGAAGUAAACAAUUCCAUCUUCCAACAGUAGCUGCUAGUUCUUGACUCCGCUAUGACUCUUAUCGAAUCCACUCCCGAUGCCGGAACCGGUGCUCUGAUCAGACAGGAUCAGCUAUUGAUGCCAGAUCCAGAGUCGCUCAAAGUGCUAGAAGGAUUUUCCUCGCGCUGGCCAAGUCUAAUCCCAUUCAUUCCAAAACCAAGAACCUUGGGCCUUAAACCCCAGCUCGCACUCGACAUGAUCUUUGACAAUCAUGAGUCAGGAGGGUCAGCCCAGAAAGAGACUAGCAUAUUUUUGUUAGCAUGCAUAAAAAAAUUCAGCUAAAAACUCGAAGUGGAGAACAUUUUGUGACCGUUUGAAAAAAGUGUCCCCAUUUCAGACACUUUAAUGGCUACUGGCAGCAAACCUAUAAAAUCUCAAAUGCUCUU
rnacentral:lncRNA from 1 species